rnacentral:lncRNA from 1 species
GCUCCACCCUUUAUAGGCGCCGCCGGGACCGGGGCCGCCCCGCAGAGCCGGCAGCAGCGGCACCGAGACAGAGCGACACAGGCACCGGGGCACCGACACCCAGAGUGACACCGGGGAACCGACACCGGCACCAACACCGGGGCACUGAGAGUGACACCGGGGCACCAGGAUUGACACCAACAUCAGGGCACCAGCACCAAUACCAAAACCAGGGCACCGGGACUGAGACCAACACCAGGACACCAACACCGGCACCAGCUCACCAGCUCACCAGGGCUGACACCGGCACUGACACCGGGGCACCAGGACUGAGACAGACACCGGAGCACCGGCACCACCACCAAGACUGAGACCAUCACCAACAGCAACAGGAUGCAGGUGGCGUUGGUGACGCUGACGUGGGUGGCCCUGGCGGGCGUC